CCUAUGGGUAGCGGGUCAAAUAAGUAGGCUGGCUCGAGGGGAAUCCUUCCCGAGGGGAGUCCCUAAGGGCGAGAUUCUAAAACCUGGGAUAAGCAUGUAGAAGCUUAAGUGGAAGUUUUCCGGACGCGGGUUCGACUCCCGCCGCCUCCACCA
rnacentral:tmRNA from 1 species